AGUGAACGCUGGCGAUAGGCCUAACACAUGCAAGUCGAACGGCAGCACAGUAAGAGCUUGCUCUUACGGGUGGCGAGUGGCGGACGGGUGAGGAAUACAUCGGAAUCUACUUUUUCGUGGGGGAUAACGUAGGGAAACUUACGCUAAUACCGCAUACGACCUACGGGUGAAAGCAGGGGAUCUUCGGCCCUUGCGCGAUUGAAUGAGCCGAUGUCGGAUUAGCUAGUUGGCGGGGUAAAGGCCCACCAAGGCGACGAUCCGUAGCUGGUCUGAGAGGAUGAUCAGCCACACUGGAACUGAGACACGGUCCAGACUCCUACGGGAGGCAGCAGGGGGGAAUAUUGGACAAUGGGCGCAAGCCUGAUCCAGCCAGACCGCGUGGGUGAAGAAGGCCUUCGGGUUGGAAAGCCCUUUUGUUGGGAAAGAAAAGCAGCAGGUUAAUACCCCGCUGUUCUGACGGUACCCAAAGAAUAAGCACCGGCUAACUUCGUG
rnacentral:rRNA from 1 species